rnacentral:rRNA from 1 species
AUUGCCUCAGUACGGCGAGUGAAGCGGCAACAGCUCAAUUUGAAAUCUGGCUUCCGGGCCCGAGUUGUAAUUUGCAGAGGGAGUUUCGGAGGCGGCACCGGCCUAAGUUCCUUGGAACGGGGCGUCAUAGAGGGUGAGAAUCCCGUACGUGGCCGGUGAUCAAUUCCAUGUGAAACCCUUUCGACGAGUCAAGUUGUUUGGGAAUGCAGCUCAAAAUGGGUGGUAAAUUUCAUCUAAAGCUAAAUACCGGCCAGAGACCGAUAGCGCACAAGUAGAGUGAUCGAAAGAUGAAAAGCACUUUGGAAAGAGAGUUAAAAAGUACGUGAAAUUGUUGAAAGGGAAGCGCUUGCGACCAGACUUGCCCGCGGGUGAUCAGCCCCCCUUCGGGAGGGUGCACUCGCCCGUGGUCAGGCCAGCAUCGGUUUUGGCGGGCGGAUAAAGGCUCCAGGAAUGUAGCUUCCCUCGGGGAGUGUUAUAGCCUGGGGUGCCAUGCGCCCCGCCGGGACCGAGGACCGCGCUUCGGCUAGGAUGCUGGCGUAAUGGUCGUAAGCGACCCGUCUUGAAACACGGACCAAGGAGUCUAACAUCUGUGCGAGUGUUUGGGUGUCAAACCCAUGCGCGGAAUGAAAGUGAACGGAGGUGGGAACCCCUUCCGGGGSGCGCACCAUCGACCGAUCCUGAUGUCUUCGGAUGGAUUUGAGUAGGAGCAUGGCUGUUGGGACCCGAAAGAUGGUGAACUAUGCCUGGAUAGGGUGAAGCCAGAGGAAACUCUGGUGGAGGCUCGCAGCAGGUUGCUGACGUGCAAAUCGAUCGUCAAAUCUGGGUAUAGGGCGAAAGACUAAUC